rnacentral:rRNA from 1 species
UACGGGGGGGGCAAGCGUUGUUCGGAAUUACUGGGCGUAAAGGGCUCGUAGGCGGCCAACUAAGUCAUACGUGAAAUCCCUCGGCUUAACCGGGGAACUGCGUCUGAUACUGGAUGGCUUGAGAUUGGGAGAGGGAUGCGGAAUUCCAGGUGUGGCGGUGAAAUGCGUAGAUAUCUGGAGGAACACCGGUGGCGAAGGCGGCAUCCUGGACCGGUAUUGACGCUGAGGCGCGAAAGCCAGGGGAGCAAACGGG